rnacentral:rRNA from 1 species
GACGAACCGUGCGAACGUUAUUCGGAAUCACUGGGCUUAAAGCGCGUGUAGGCGGCCCGGCACGUCCGGUCGCUGAAAUCCCCCGGCUCAACCGGGGAAGUGGCGUGGAUACGACCGGGCUGGAGGGGGGUAGGGGGAGCCGGAACUUCCGGUGGAGCGGUGAAAUGCGUUGAGAUCGGAAGGAACGCCCGUGGCGAAAGCGGGCUCCGUGGACCCCACCUGACGCUGAGACGCGAAAGCCAGGGGAGCGAACGGGG